rnacentral:rRNA from 1 species
GGACCCGCACAAGCGGUGGAGCAUGUGGUUUAAUUCGAUGCAACGCGAAAAACCUUACCUACACUUGACAUACUUGGAAUCUUUUGUAAUGAAAGAGUGCCUUUUGGAGCCAAGAUACAGGUGCUGCAUGGCUGUCGUCAGCUCGUGUCGUGAGAUGUUGGGUUAAGUCCCAUAACGAGCGCAACCCUUACCCUUAUUUGCCAGCGAUUCGGUCGGGAACUAUAAGGGGACUGCCGGUGAUAAACCGGAGGAAGGUGAGGACGACGUCAAGUCAUCAUGGCCCUUACGUGUAGGGCUACACACGUGCUACAAUGGGGAGUACAGAUAGACGCUAAAGCGCGAGCUGGUGCUAAUCUCAUAAAACUCUUCGUAGUCCGGAUUGCAGUCUGCAACUCGACUGCAUGAAGUCGGAAUCGCUAG